UACCUGCGGAGGGAUCAUUACACAAUAAAAUACAGAAGGCCGUUCGCGGCUGGACUAUUUAUUACCCUUGUCUUUUGCGCACUUGUUGUUUCCUGGGCGGGUUCGCUCGCCACCAGGACCACAAUAUAAACCUUUUUUAUGCAGUUGCAAUCAGCGUCAGUAUAACAAAUGUAAAUCAUUUACAACUUUCAACAACGGAUCUCUUGGUUCUGGCAUCGAUGAAGAACGCAGCGAAAUGCGAUACGUAGUGUGAAUUGCAGAAUUCAGUGAAUCAUCGAAUCUUUGAACGCACAUUGCGCCCUUUGGUAUUCCAAAGGGCAUGCCUGUUCGAGCGUCAUUUGUACCCUCAAGCUUUGCUUGGUGUUGGGCGUUUUUGUCUUUGGCCCGCCAAAGACUCGCCUUAAAAUGAUUGGCAGCCGGCCUACUGGUUUCGCAGCGCAGCACAUUUUUGCGCUUGCAAUCAGCAAAAGAGGACGGCAAUCCAUCAAGACUCCUUCUCACGUUUGACCUCGGAUCAGG
rnacentral:rRNA from 1 species